GUGAAUCGCGGCGAUGGCGUCCGCCAGGGGUAGCUCCCCGAACCGCCCCGCAGGGCUGAUGACUCCUGAGACGAU
rnacentral:ncRNA from 2 species